GAUGAACGCUGGCGGCGUGCCUAAUACAUGCAAGUCGAGCGAAUGGAUUAAGAGCUUGCUCUUAUGAAGUUAGCGGCGGACGGGUGAGUAACACGUGGGUAACCUGCCCAUAAGACUGGGAUAACUCCGGGAAACCGGGGCUAAUACCGGAUAACAUUUUGAACCGCAUGGUUCGAAAUUGAAAGGCGGCUUCGGCUGUCACUUAUGGAUGGACCAGCGUCGCAUUAGCUAGUUGGUGAGGUAACGGCUCACCAAGGCAACGAUGCGUAGCCGACCUGAGAGGGUGAUCGGCCACACUGGGACUGAGACACGGCCCAGACUCCUACGGGAGGCAGCAGUAGGGAAUCUUCCGCAAUGGACGAAAGUCUGACGGAGCAACGCCGCGUGAGUGAUGAAGGCUUUCGGGUCGUAAAACUCUGUUGUUAGGGAAGAACAAGUGCUAGUUGAAUAAGCUGGCACCUUGACGGUACCUAACCAGAAAGCCACGGCUAACUACAUGCCAGCCGCCGCCGUAA
rnacentral:rRNA from 1 species